GGAGUAAAAGUCGUAACAAGGUUUCCGUAGGUGAACCUGCGGAAGGAUCAUUAUUGUAUAACCGAGGUGCGAGGGCUGUCGCUGACCCGAAAGGUCGUGCACGCCCGAGUGCCCUCACACACAUCCAUCUCACCCCUAUGUGCACCACCGCGUGGGUCCCCCUUUGGCUUGUUCGGAGGGGGGCUUACGUUUUCACACAAACUUUGUAUGCAGUGUAGAAUGUAUUUUUUGUUCUUGCGAUCACGCAAUCAAUACAACUUUCAACAACGGAUCUCUUGGCUCUC
rnacentral:misc_RNA from 1 species